rnacentral:rRNA from 1 species
UACGUAGGGGGCAAGCGUUGUCCGGAUUUAUUGGGCGUAAAGAGCGUGUAGGCGGCUUUGCAAGUCCGUUGUGAAAACUCGAGGCUCAACCUCGAGACGCCGGUGGAAACUGCAAAGCUAGAGUCCGGAAGAGGAGAGUGGAAUUCCGUGGUGUAGCGGUGAAAUGCGCAGAAUAUCAGGAAGACACCCGUGGCGAAGGCGGAUUCUCCUGGGACGGUAGCUGACGCUGAGGCGCGAAAGCCAGGGAGCGAACGGG